GUGCAGCAAUUAGCUUGCAUGUCCUAGUACACACCUUGAAACGGUGAAACCGCGAAUGGCUCAUUACAUCAGCUAUGGUUCCUUAGAUCGUACAUGCUACAUGGAUAACUGUAAUAAUUCUAGAGCUAAUACAUGCCACUAUGCCCUGACCCGCAAGGGAACGGGUGGAUUUAUUAGAACAGAACCAACCUGGGAUGGCUUCGGUCGUUCCUGUUGCACUCUGUGAUGACUCUGGAUAACUUUACUGAUCGCAGUCGGCCUUGUGUCGGCGACGGAUCUUUCAAAUGUCUGCCCUAUCAACUUUCGAUGGUAGGUGAACCUGAAAAAGAUCAAUGGUCCUGUUGCAUGUUCGUGAUCGUAUGUUUGUCUGUGAACCUGCCGAAGGAUCAAACAACGUUUAGUUCUCUUAAUCUGUUUAUUGGUAUCGAUCGAUCAAGCUUGUCGGGGGUUUGGGGGGUAGGGUUCCCAACCCCCCUGGGUGAUCGGGGCUAUGGCUGAAUUUCUUUGAAUAUAAGGGGGGUUUGGAUUAUAAAUGAGAAUACAGGGACAAAAA
rnacentral:rRNA from 1 species